UUAGAUACCCAUUUAUUUCGAUGAAAACUUUGUCGUCCUGCUUGGGUACUACGAGUGCUUAAAACUCAAAGAACUUGGCGGCUUGUUAACUACCUAGGGGAAUAUGCGCCUUAAUCCGAUGUUCCCCGUUGCAUCUUACUGGAUCUUGAAAUAGUGCAGCUGGUGUAUUGCCGUUGUCAGCUUGUUGUUGAGCAAAGAGAAACAGGCUUAAUGGGCCGGGGAGCCUUAAAUUCAGGUCGUAAUACUGCCAAUGGUCCUAGGGAGUGGGUGUUACAAUUCGGAAUUAGAAUACGGAUCUUUGAAAAUGAAGGUGAACUUAGGAGUAAGAGGAAAUUAGUAUGUUUCUCUGAACUGAAUCUAACUCGUGUACAAACUGCCCGUCGCUCUCGGUAAUUGAGAU
rnacentral:rRNA from 1 species